rnacentral:rRNA from 1 species
GAGUUUGAUCAUGGCUCAGGAUGAACGCUGGCGGCGUGCUUAACACAUGCAAGUCGAACGAGGAAUUUUAAAUGAGACUUCGGUGGAUUUUAAAAUUCUUAGUGGCGGACGGGUGAGUAACGCGUGGGCAACCUGCCCUGUACAGGGGGACAACAGCUGGAAACGGCUGCUAAUACCGCAUAAGACCACGGAGCCGCAUGGCUCAGUGGGAAAAACUCCGGUGGUACAGGAUGGGCCCGCGUUGGAUUAGGUAGUUGGUGAGGUAACGGCCCACCAAGCCGACGAUCCAUAGCCGACCUGAGAGGGUGACCGGCCACGUUGGGACUGAGACACGGCCCAAACUCCUACGGGAGGCAGCAGUGGGGAAUCUUCCGCAAUGGGCGAAAGCCUGACGGAGCAACGCCGCGUGAGUGAAGAAUUAUUUCGGUAUGUAAAGCUCUAUCAGCAGGGAAGAAAAUGACGGUACCUGACUAAGAAGCCCGGCUAACUACGUGCCAGCCGCCGCCGU